AUUGAACGCCGGCGGCAGGCCUAACACAUGCAAGUCGAGCGGUUGAAGGGAGCUUGCUCCCUGAUUCAGCGGCGGACGGGUGAGUAAUGCCUAGGAAUCUGCCUAUUAGUGGGGGACGACGUUUCGAAAGGAACGCUAAUACCGCAUACGUCCUACGGGAGAAAGCAGGGGACCUUCGGGCCUUGCGCUAAUAGAUGAGCCUAGGGCGGAUUAGCUUGUUGGUGAGGUAAUGGCUCACCAAGGCGACGAUCCGUAACUGGUCUGAGAGGAUGAUCAGUCACCCUGGAGCUGAGACACGGUCCAGACUCCUACGGGAGGCAGCAGUGGGGAAUAUUGGACAAUGGGCGGAAGCCUGAUCCAGCCAUGCCGCGUGUGUGAAGAAGGUCUUCGGAUUGUAAAGCACUUUAAGUUGGGAGGAAGGGUUGUAGAUUAAUACUCUGCAAUUUUGACGUUACCGACAGAAUAAGCACCGGCUAACUCUGUGCCAGCCGCCGCAGUAA
rnacentral:rRNA from 1 species